AAUAACAUCGAUCCCAGCCUCUUGCGAGGCGAAGGGUCGGAUUUGGAUGUUGCAGUCCUUUACAAGGUCUGCUCGUCUUGAAAUGCAUUAGCGUUCCGUCGCGAGAUCGGUCACAACGGUGUGAUAAGUCUACUUCUGGCGCCGUUCCGCGUCUCGCGUGUAAGGAUGCUUCUACUCGUCUUCGGACAAUUUCAUGUC
rnacentral:misc_RNA from 1 species